AGGAGAGCAACAUAUAGCAGAAAUGUUGACUAUUUUCACCUUUUCUAAAAGUCUGAUCAGGCUAGAGAAUACGGUCUUGUAAGGUCAUGAAAAGUGUCAACACAGACCGGGCAAUGCUGACUUCCUGGACUCCUAUCAUAUCCCUCAAUUGAAACCGCUGACUAAAGAGACUCAGAACUUUCAUCUUCUGGCCACGUCUCAAGCUUCAGGCCGUGUGAUCCUUAGAUGGUCCUCGAACCAUUACAUUUUCCUUUCCUCCACAGAAACUAUCCUUGCACCUUGGGGGUUGAAGCCAGUGCUUCAUAUAUGGAUGGGCUGCAAGAAUGCAGGCAGUUGUGACGCCAUGUACAUGGAUCCCACUUAUCAGUCUGAGGAUGGGGGAACCAACCUGUCAGUGUCCAAAUGUUUUCAGUCUAACACAUGUGUCAGUGGUUCAAUGGCGGCUUUGAAGUGAAUGAAUUUCAUAAUCAAAUAUGAAGCCAGUGGCUGCGUAAGGACAAAUCUUCUAACCCAUUUGCCCUAUAUAGAAAGUGUUGUGCUUGGAG